GAGAAUAGCAAGAUGAAAAUAAUAACCUGAUGUGUGUGGUGGUCAAAAAUCGUGAGGUCAAACCUUGGUUGUGCUGUACCAAUACAGAAGAAGAAAUCAGUCUCGAAAAAUAUGGCUAAAAUUGCGGCCAAGAUCCUUAUGAUACACAGGCAAGAAACUAAGAUAUGUGAAAAGCUUAAGUAUCUAAAAAUCUAAGAGUAUCUAUAUGUAGAAAAGGAAAGAAAAACAGACUUUGGAAUUUUCUAAGGUUUUCUCAAAGAACGACAAAGGUUUACAGGUAUAAAAAUGGUAAAAUAACCCGCAUGUGAUACCCUUGGUCUUACAGUUGUAAACGUCCAUAGGCUACUGUAACUGCUGACGGUAGGCUGGUUUUGCGCCAAAGUAGAACAGUUUGGAACUAAUCCUUUUUUGGUAACUGAUAAAACUUUAAACCCCUCUUAAUCCGGUGGGUGAAUAAAAAAAGACCUGCCAGGAGUCUGCGCAGGCGCCUAUUACUAGGACGUCGGGAAAUCGUGCAGAAUAGAGAUCUUUAAUGCUAAAACAACGACUUUAUGUGGUCGUGACCUUCAACUAUUAGGUAACGAGGAAGAAAAAUAAAGUCCUCUUAACGGAACAUCUUACCACCACAGAACCUAUGUUGGGGGGUCUGACGGACUUAUGGCAGAAAAACUCUAGGACAAUUAAAAGAGACCUGUGAUCUGUCUGGUGGUAGAUGAUGAAGUAAAUGCCAUGCAAAUUUUGACAAUAACUUACGAGUAAAGCUAAAAGAGGCGGUUGACCUCUGCGACGCUUUGCCUGCGAUAUUUGCGCAGGCGCUUCAUGGAUCUAGUUUCGAUCUUAACAAUCUACAUGCAGGGCCGGAUUUUAGAGCACAGACCCUGGCCUAUGGGGCCCAGGAAACCUGGUAAUGUUUUGAAAUGGAGAAGGGGCCCCGAUAAAAUUAGGGGGGGGUUGGAAUUCCAAGAGCCAUAGAAACGUGAAGCGAUAGAAACCGAGAGCAUCCGAAUUUCAACCAUAAGCAGAGACAUGAGAUUUCGUCUUCGGAUAAUCCAGUAUUGAAAUGGUGGCGAGACAGGAAGGCGCAAAUGCAAAUCAUGGACACAAUGGCACCGCUACGAAACGCAUCCGGUUGCAUCGUUUUAUAUUGUUUAUAGGGUAACAGACAGCAAGAAAUAGAAAUCAUUACCAAGAUGACCAAAACCUACCGUAUCUAAUAUUAAUAUUAUCGCGUCUGACCGAUGGAAUUACAAUAAAUUUAAAUACAACGGCCUUCUUAGAAGAGUGACGCAUUUCAAUUCUUGUAGCUGCUUGGCUCUUCUAUUCCAGGUAUACUAGUAUAAAAUAUAUUAAUAGUAAGUAUAUAAUAUACCUAACUAAAUCAUUAUAAAUAUAUCAAAGCCAGUGGCGG